rnacentral:rRNA from 1 species
GACGAACGCUGGCGGCGUGCCUAAUACAUGCAAGUCGAGCGAGUCUGCCUUGAAGAUCGGAGUGCUUGCACUCUGUGAAACAAGAUACAGGCUAGCGGCGGACGGGUGAGUAACACGUGGGUAACCUGCCCAAGAGAUCGGGAUAACACCUGGAAACAGAUGCUAAUACCGGAUAACAACAGAUGAUGCCUAUCAACUGUUUAAAAGAUGGUUCUGCUAUCACUCUUGGAUGGACCUGCGGUGCAUUAGCUAGUUGGUAGGGUAACGGCCUACCAAGGCGAUGAUGCAUAGCCGAGUUGAGAGACUGAUCGGCCACAUUGGGACUGAGACACGGCCCAAACUCCUACGGGAGGCAGCAGUAGGGAAUCUUCCACAAAGGACGCAAGUCUGAUGGAGCAACGCCGCGUGAGUGAAGAAGGGUUUCGGCUCGUAAAGCUCUGUUGUUGGUGAAGAAGGACAGGGGUAGUAACUGACCUUUGUUUGACGGUAAUCAAUUAGAAAGUCACGGCUAACUAAGUG